AAAUUAUCAGCCUUAGCUUAUCUACCACUAACGUAAAUCAUGAUCACAAACAGGGUGAAAUAAUCGAGGCUACCAUGCAUUAUUCCUUUGCAGAGCAAAACAAGAAUUACUUAAGGAAAGGAGGAAUAUAUGGAGUCUCCCAAUUCAUAGUCCGUUCAAAUAACCAAAGAACUACAACAGCCUACAAAGUUUAGGAGGCACAAACAUUGAGCUACCAGAUGCCAUCGGCAAGAUACGCAUUGUACAAGGCAUAAAUCUCAAACACCCAAACUCCAAAACAAAGGUUUGGGUAGGCCUCGAAAUCACCAGAAACACCAUCAUCAAAGUCUUAAUAUGGGAUGAACAGGCAGCGUUUAUGCAUCAAAGAUCGGAGACACUCAACUAUGCUGGUCACAAGCAUCGACCCAAAAUAUACAAAGGGAAACUACAGCUUCAUACAACUCCAGCGUCAAGAUUUUACUUCGAUUACACCUUGGCAUCUCUCAGAAGAAGACAGUGAUGACUACAAUCCGGCAAUAGAUGCGAGGAUUUAGUUCACCCAUAAAAAAUAAUACCGAUACUCUUUUCCGUGGCAGAUCUACUUUCCCACUAAUGUUCAAUAAGGAAAAAAGUCAUUUGAAAAAAUCUCAUAUACUCCCUUAAAAAACGAAUUGAAAAAAACAAACCAAUCUUGUCUACGUAACAAAAAAAAAUAAUAUAAUGGGUAUAAUUUAAAAAACAAGACUACAGAUAAGCCCAAACCAAACAUACCCAGCAAAAAAAUAAGGACAAAGAAAACAAACUCAUUAUGUCUAUGUAAUCAAACCCCCAAAAAAAUGGGUACAAUAAAAAUAACAGGAUUACAGAUAGACCUUACAGUUAUUGUCAAAAUACACACCAAUGUUAGCCCAUUUAGUAUUAACACAGAAUACACAACACCAGAAAAGCCCAAAUAAGAAUUAAAACCUAA